UACAGAGGUCCCAAGCGUUGUCCGGAAUUAUUGGGCGUAAAGGGCUCGUAGGCGGUCUGUCACGUCGGGAGUGAAAACACGGGGCUUAACCCCGUGCCUGCUUCCGAUACGGGCAGACUAGAGGUAUGCAGGGGAGAACGGAAUUCCUGGUGUAGCGGUGAAAUGCGCAGAUAUCAGGAGGAACACCGGUGGCGAAGGCGGUUCUCUGGGCAUUACCUGACGCUGAGGAGCGAAAGUGUGGGGAGCGAACAGG
rnacentral:rRNA from 1 species